UUCCGACCUACGACUUACUACGGUUUGGGCACUCUAGCGAGACUGCCGGUAAUAAACCGGAGGAAGGUGGGGAUGACGUCAAAUCAUCAUGCCCCUUAUGACCUGGGCUACACACGUGCUACAAUGGUUGGUACAACGAGUUGCGAGUCGGUGACGGCGAGCUAAUCUCUUAAAGCCAAUCUCAGUUCGGAUUGUAGGCUGCAACUCGCCUACAUGAAGUCGGAAUCGCUAGUAAUCGCGGAUCAGCACGCCGCGGUGAAUACGUUCCCGGGCCUU
rnacentral:rRNA from 1 species